CAGGCACUGGUAUAGAUGGGAGACUGCAAGCUUGUCAAGAAGCCACGGAUACUGCAUGAGCAGUAGUGUAUCGAUGACUGACUGGUGGCCUAGGCAAGGGAGCCUACAAGUCCAGGAUGGAGUCUGACACCUGAACCUGCACAGGCCACUUCAAGUGGUAAGAAAAACAAAGCUCUUGGAAACAAGGUCAAAUCUAGAGUCGGAGUCUCUGGGUCUGCCCAAGAGAGCUGACGAGGAGAAGAUGACUGAGCAUUUACGCUUAAAGGAGGGUGAAGGUCUGAGACGGGAUUUGCAGCCGUUGAAUAAUAACCAGAAAGGGAGAUUAACCAGCACUGAGGGCCCUGAGGCAGGAAACUUAGAAACAAGAAGAAGAAGGAAAGAAUAUUGGGCACAUCAAUCUCUCCCUAACCUGUAAUGCCCCACAGAGAGGCAGAGGUUUUCAUCAAUCUCAAUGCCACUCGAGCCCAGGUGCUUCCCUUGACCAGAAAUGCAAUACAUCCAGCCAGCCAAUCCCCAAACGCCAAGCCAGCUCUGUGCUCUUUACUUACGUCCUUGCUCCUUCUCACCCCAAUCAAGUUUGACUAUGUGGCCCCAGCCAACCAGAAUCUCCAGGCUUGUAUGAACCAGGAGAAGAAUCAGCAUUCCAUUCGCAACUGACUUCUUUUCUGUGACUUGUGGACUGCUAGAAGAUGCUCAAGAAAACAAGAACAGGGAAUUGAAAACGGCAAUUAACACACUGUGAGGGAAGUCAAGUCAACCACCUAAAGCAAAGGCUCUAGUACUCUCUAAAGGAGCUAAAUACGUGGUGAAGAAAGCAGAGGAACUCAGCUCUGCUUGAAUAGGCAAAAACCAACCAGACGUCGAUGAAAAUAAUCCAUAAGCAACCUAUAAAUGAAAAUUGGCAUGAAUUUCAUAUGAACCAGAUCUGAGGACUAGCUUAGACCAGGGCCUUCCUUCCCCAAAGAAGGAAGGGCACCAAAGAAGUGGGAUGUGCAGAGUGGUUAUAUACUCUCAAAGAGGAUGUUUCACAUAGGAUUGAAAUGUCCCUUUUACAAUAGUCACAAGACUGCUCUGUCAGCACAGUGGUUGACGGACACAGCAGGUAGUAGGUCUGCUGUCUUGGUGGACACAGCAGGGUAGCAGGGCUGUUUUCUCAAGCUGGGUGGUCAGAGGCGAGCAGAGCAAUCAGUUCCUAGCCUAGGGAGAGAUGCCUAUCCUUAAGGAAAUGCCAACAUGGGGGAAGUUGCAUCUUUAUCUUAAGGGCAUUUGUUCUUGUCUUUGGGACACAGCAGAUGCUUAAAGCAGAUAUACAACUAUACAAUGCAUGCUCACUGGCCAUGUCAGGCCCUUUGGGAAAAACAAGGUCAGGUUGAAUUAGGUUUACAUCAAAUGGCUUCCUCAUAUACUCCAGUAUAUCCUGUUGCUCACCAUUUGUUUGUCACAGAAACCAAAAACUCAUCCCUUUUAAAUAAAUUUUAUUUCAUUCAUUAAAACAGUAUGUAUCUACAUAAAGAUUGCUAAAUACAUGCAAGAGUUGUUAUUUAUUCGGUGCACGGCUCAUUCUUGAUGCAGGUAUGGAUUCCCGGCCCCCUCGCUGCUACAUUGUGCUAUGUCCUCCUCUUACCCCCCAUCCCCAGAAGUAGGGAAAUACUUCUAAAGAUUUAUGAUGAUACUUUGAAAAACCUAUUUCCAGCUAUUUUUCCUAAUUAACAGCUAAACAUCUACCCAUUUGUGUUAUUACAAUCAAAAUUAAUAUGAAUUAUGGAACAUUUUAUGGUGUUAAGAAAACUACUAUUUUUACAUAUAUCAACUUUUUGAUAAAUACAUCUUAAAUAUACAAUUCCCUAUCAAGAUCUCAGUCAUUCUUAGUUUCAAAUAUGAAGAGUAAAUAUGCUUUUGUACAUAUGCAAUAGCU
ensembl:lncRNA